rnacentral:tRNA from 1 species
AAGGAGAAUUGCCUACUGUUUAAUUUUGAAAGUUCUUUACGAACUUUAUAUAUGGGGGUGUAGCUCAGUUGGGAGAGCACUUGCCUUGCAAGCAAGGGGUCAGGAGUUCGACUCUCCUCAUCUCCACCAUUUAAGAGUAUAUUACUUAAAUCUUUGAUUUACUUAGUAGCCUCUUACAAUGCACUUAUAGCUUAAAUUUAUACAAGCUUUGUGCGUUAGCACUUUAAGCAACGGAAUUUAUUCGUUGGCGCCGUGCUUUAGCACUUUGAAAACUGCAUAUAUAUUUAGUGAUAUGACAUCUAAUUUGUAAUAUAUAAAGCUGAUAACUUUUUAAAAUUAUCGAAGUUGAUAGCUUCUAAUCUAUCAAACCUUUUUAAC